UGGGCCUUGGCGGCAGGCUACCAUGCAAGUCGAGCGGUAGCACAGAGAGCUUGCUCUCGGGUGACGAGCGGCGGACGGGUGAGUAAUGUCUGGGAAACUGCCUGAUGGAGGGGGAUAACUACUGGAAACGGUAGCUAAUACCGCAUAACGUCGCAAGACCAAAGUGGGGGACCUUCGGGCCUCAUGCCAUCAGAUGUGCCCAGAUGGGAUUAGCUAGUAGGUGGGGUAACGGCUCACCUAGGCGACGAUCCCUAGCUGGUCUGAGAGGAUGACCAGCCACACUGGAACUGAGACACGGUCCAGACUCCUACGGGAGGCAGCAGUGGGGAAUAUUGCACAAUGGGCGCAAGCCUGAUGCAGCCAUGCCGCGUGUGUGAAGAAGGCCUUCGGGUUGUAAAGCACUUUCAGCGGGGAGGAAGGCGGUGAGGUUAAUAACCUUGUCGAUUGACGUUACCCGCAGAAGAAGCACCGGCUAACUCCGUGCCAGCAGCCGCGGUAAUACGGAGGGUGCAAGCGUUAAUCGGAAUUACUGGGCGUAAAGCGCACGCAGGCGGUCUGUCAAGUCGGAUGUGAAAUCCCCGGGCUCAACCUGGGAACUGCAUUCGAAACUGGCAGGCUAGAGUCUUGUAGAGGGGGGUAGAAUUCCAGGUGUAGCGGUGAAAUGCGUAGAGAUCUGGAGGAAUACCGGUGGCGAAGGCGGCCCCCUGGACAAAGACUGACGCUCAGGUGCGAAAGCGUGGGGAGCAAACAGGAUUAGAUACCCUGGUAGUCCACGCCGUAAACGAUGUCGAUUUGGAGGUUGUGCCCUUGAGGCGUGGCUUCCGGAGCUAACGCGUUAAAUCGACCGCCUGGGGAGUACGGCCGCAAGGUUAAAACUCAAAUGAAUUGACGGGGGCCCGCACAAGCGGUGGAGCAUGUGGUUUAAUUCGAUGCAACGCGAAGAACCUUACCUGGUCUUGACAUCCACAGAACUUUCCAGAGAUGGAUUGGUGCCUUCGGGAACUGUGAGACAGGUGCUGCAUGGCUGUCGUCAGCUCGUGUUGUGAAAUGUUGGGUUAAGUCCCGCAACGAGCGCAACCCUUAUCCUUUGUUGCCAGCGGUUCGGCCGGGAACUCAAAGGAGACUGCCAGUGAUAAACUGGAGGAAGGUGGGGAUGACGUCAAGUCAUCAUGGCCCUUACGACCAGGGCUACACACGUGCUACAAUGGCAUAUACAAAGAGAAGCGACCUCGCGAGAGCAAGCGGACCUCAUAAAGUAUGUCGUAGUCCGGAUUGGAGUCUGCAACUCGACUCCAUGAAGUCGGAAUCGCUAGUAAUCGUAGAUCAGAAUGCUACGGUGAAUACGUUCCCGGGCCUUGUACACACCGCCCGUCACACCAUGGGAGUGGGUUGCAAAAGAAGUAGGUAGCUUAACCUUCGGGAGGGCGCUUAACCACUUGAUUAACGGCC
rnacentral:rRNA from 1 species